ensembl:snRNA U6 U6 spliceosomal RNA
CAGCACAUAUACUUAAAAAAAAAAAAAGGAAUGAUACAGAGAAGGCUAGCAUGUGGCCCCCAUGCAAGGAUGACACGCAAAUUCGUGAAGCAUUCCAUAUUGGG